rnacentral:rRNA from 1 species
GUCCUGACCAAAUCUCGUGCCAGCAGUCGCGGUAAUACGAGGAGGGCAAGCGUUAAUCAUAUUAAAUAGGUCUAAAGGGUUCGUAGACGGUUUUAUAAAUUAUUAAUAUAAUGAAAAUUGUAGAACUAGAGUAUAAUAUGAGGAAUAAGUAUUUUUAAUGUAAAGGUUGAAUUUAAAUAAUAAGAAGACUGCAAAAGGCGAAGGUUUAUUUCUAAAUUAUUACUGACGUUGAGGAACUAAAGCUAGGGUAGCAAAGCGGAUUCGAUACCCGUGUAGUCCUAGCCCGAAACGAUGAAUGCUCGAGUAUGUUUUUUGUUUUUAAAAACAUACAUCUAAGUGAAGACGUUAAGCAUUCCACCUGGAGAGUACGUUCCCAUGAAUGAAAUCCAAGACAUUAGGCGGUUGUAGGCACCAGCAGUUAAGCAU